rnacentral:tRNA from 3 species
GCCGUUUUAGCUCAGCAGGUAGAGCACUUCCAUGGUAAGGAAGAGGUCGGCAGUUCAAAUCUGCUAAACGGCUUCA